rnacentral:rRNA from 1 species
UGGCGACCGGCGCACGGGUGAGUAACACGUAUCCAACCUGCCGAUAACUCGGGGAUAGCCUUUCGAAAGAAAGAUUAAUACCCGAUGGUAUAAUAAAGCCGCAUGGUUUAAUUAUUAAAGAAUUUCGGUUAUCGAUGGGGAUGCGUUCCAUUAGGCAGUUGGUGAGGUAACGGCUCACCAAGGCGACGAUCGGUAGCCGGACUGAGAGGUUGAACGGCCACAUUGGGACUGAGACACGGCCCAG